rnacentral:lncRNA from 1 species
CAGCGGUUCACUGAUUUGCUUAGCAGGUUCGACAACUUAGACGUACAUCAAAGAUCACCAGGUCCAAGAACAAGAGGCGGCAGGCAACCUUAACUUUAGUUUUUUUUCCUUUCUUUUUGUAAUUCAUUUUUUUUCCUUCAAACAUUGAGGACAAUGUUUCAUUCAAGUAUGGGGGGGAAAACCAUGUUCUCUCCAUCCUCCUUUUUCCUUUUCAAGUAUGUAUCUUUCUUUUCAUUGUUAUUUCCCUUAUAAAAAAAAAUAUAAUAAAAUAAUAUUUCUUAUAAUAUAGAUUUAUUUUAAGUUAAGUCCCAAAUGUGAAAACUUUCUAUUAUCUAUUCCCCUCAAUUUUCAUGAGCCAUAACAAAAAUUCAUCACACUCAAUAAGUAUA